GACGAACGCUGGCGGCGUGCUUAACACAUGCAAGUCGAACGGUAAGGCCCUUCGGGGUACACGAGUGGCGAACGGGUGAGUAACACGUGGGUGAUCUGCCCUGCACUUCGGGAUAAGCCUGGGAAACUGGGUCUAAUACCGGAUAGGACCCUGGGAUGCAUGUCCUGGGGUGGAAAGCUUUUGCGGUGUGGGAUGGGCCCGCGGCCUAUCAGCUUGUUGGUGGGGUGAUGGCCUACCAAGGCGACGACGGGUAGCCGGCCUGGGAGGGUGACCGGCCACACUGGGACUGGGAUACGGCCCAGACUCCUACGGGAGGCAGCAGUGGGGAAUAUUGCACAAUGGGCGGAAGCCUGAUGCAGCGACGCCGCGUGAGGGAUGACGGCCUUCGGGUUGUAAACCUCUUUCAGCACCGACGAAGCGCAAGUGACGGUGGGUGCAGAAGAAGGACCGGCCAACUACGUGCCAGCCGCCGCCGUAA
rnacentral:rRNA from 1 species